rnacentral:rRNA from 1 species
UGCAGUCGACGAUGAGCUCCAGCUUGCUGGGGGGAUUAGUGGCGAACGGGUGAGUAACACGUGAGUAACCUGCCCUUGACUCUGGGAUAAGCGCUGGAAACGGCGUCUAAUACCGGAUACGAGCUUCAGCCGCAUGGCUAGGAGUUGGAAAGAAUUUUGGUCAAGGAUGGACUCGCGGCCUAUCAGCUAGUUGGUGAGGUAAUGGCUCACCAAGGCGACGACGGGUAGCCGGCCUGAGAGGGUGACCGGCCACACUGGGACUGAGACACGGCCCAGACUCCUACGGGAGGCAGCAGUGGGGAAUAUUGCACAAUGGGCGCAAGCCUGAUGCAGCAACGCCGCGUGAGGGACGACGGCCUUCGGGUUGUAAACCUCUUUUAGUAGGGAAGAAGCGAAAGUGACGGUACCUGCAGAAAAAGCACCGGCUAACUACGUGCCAGCAGCCGCGGUAAUACGUAGGGUGCAAGCGUUGUCCGGAAUUAUUGGGCGUAAAGAGCUCGUAGGCGGUUUGUCGCGUCUGCUGUGAAAUCUGGGGGCUCGACCCUCCAGCCUGCAGUGUGUACAGCAGACUAGAGUGCGGUAGGGAGAUUGCUACUCUGAUGUAGCGGUGGAUGCGCAGAUAUCAGAG